rnacentral:lncRNA from 12 species
AUGAGGAGAGGAGAGGAGAGGAGAGGAGAGGAGAGGAGAGGUGAGGAGAGGAGAGGGGAGGACAGGACAGGAGAGGAGAAGGGAGGAGAGGAGCGGAGAGGAGAGGGGAGGACAGGAGAGGGGAGGAGAGAGGGGGAGAGGAGAGGAGAGCGGAGGAGAAGAGAGGAGAGGAGAGGGGAGGAGGGAGGGGAGGGGAGGGGGGGGGGGAGGGGGGGAGAGGGGGGGAGGGGGGAGGAGAGAGGUGAGGGGGGGGGGGGGGGGGGGGGAGGGGGGAGGAGAGGGGGGGGGGGGGGAGAGGAGGGGGGGGGGGGGGGGGGGAGGUGGGAAGAGGAGGGGAGGAGAGAGGAGAGAGGAGGGGAGGGGAGGAGAGGGGUGGAGAGAGGAGGAGAGGGGAGAGGAGAGGGGAGGGGAGAGGGGAGGAGAGGCGGGGGGAGGGGGGGGGGGGGGAGAGGGGGGGAGAGGGGAAGGGAGGGGGGGAGAGCGGAGGAGAGGGGAGGAGAGGAGAGGGGGGGAGAGGGGAAGAGAGGAGGGGAGAGGAGGGGAGGGGGGAGGGGGGGGGAGGGGGGGGGAGGAGAGAGGAGGGGGGGGGGGGGGGGGGGAAGGGGGGGGGAGGGGGGAGGGGAGGGGGGGGGAGGGGAGGAGAGGGGAGGAGAGGAGAGGAGAGGGGAGGAGAGGGGAGGAGGGGAGAGGGGAGGACAGGACAGGAGAGGACAGGAGAGGAGAGGUGAGGAGAGGAGAGAUGAGGAGAGAAGAGGAGAGAUGAGGAGAGGAGAGGGGAGAGGAGGAGAGGAGAGGGGAGAAGAGAGGAGGAGAGGUGAGGAGAGGAGAGGGGAGGACAGGGGAGGAGAGGAGAGAGGAGGGGAGGGGAGGAGAGGAGAGGGGAGGGGUGGAGAGAGGAGGAGAGGGGAGAGGAGAGGGGAGGGGAGGGGAGGAGAGGGGAGGAGGGGAGAGGGGAGGACAGGACAGGAGAGGAGAAGGGAGGAGAGGAGCGGAGAGGAGAGGUGA